GACGAACGCUGGCGGCGUGCCUAAUACAUGCAAGUAGGACGCAGUUGCGAACGGGUGAUUAACGCGUAGGUAACUACCUAUUAGAGGGGGAUAACUAUUGGCAACUAUAGCUAAUACCGCAUACUAGUAGAUGGACCUUCGUUGUAUUAGCUAGUAGGUAGGGUAAUGGCCUACCUAGGCAACGAUACAUAGCCGACUUGAAAGGGGGAUCUGCCACAAUGGGACUGGGGCAAGGCGCAGACGCCGACGGGAGGCAGCAGUAGGGAAUCGUAGGCAAUGGGGGGAACCCUGACCGAGCAACGCCGCGGGAGGGAAGAAGGGUUUCGGAUCGUAAAGCUCUGUUGUUAAGGAAGCGGUACUUAACCAGAAAGGAACGGCUAACUACGUGCCAGCAGCCGCGGUAAUAC
rnacentral:rRNA from 1 species